rnacentral:rRNA from 1 species
ACGCAGGCGGUUUGUUAAGUCAGAUGUGAAAUCCCCGGGCUCAACCUGGGAACUGCAUCUGAUACUGGCAAGCUUGAGUCUCGUAGAGGGGGGUAGAAUUCCAGGUGUAGCGGUGAAAUGCGUAGAGAUCUGGAGGAAUACCGGUGGCGAAGGCGGCCCCCUGGACGAAGACUGACGCUCAGGUGCGAAAGCGUGGGGAGCAAACAGGAUUAGAUACCCUGGUAGUCCACGCCGUAAACGAUGUCGACUUGGAGGUUGUGCCCUUGAGGCGUGGCUUCCGGAGCUAACGCGUUAAGUCGACCGCCUGGGGAGUACGGCCGCAAGGUUAAAACUCAAAUGAAUUGACGGGGGCCCGCACAAGCGGUGGAGCAUGUGGUUUAAUUCGAUGCAACGCGAAGAACCUUACCUGGUCUUGACAUCCACGGAAGUUUUCAGAGAUGAGAAUGUGCCUUCGGGAACCGUGAGACAGGUGCUGCAUGGCUGUCGUCAGCUCGUGUUGUGAAAUGUUGGGUUAAGUCCCGCAACGAGCGCAACCC